rnacentral:rRNA from 1 species
UGGGGAAUUUUGGACAAUGGGGGAAACCCUGAUCCAGCCAUCCCGCGUGUGCGAUGAAGGCCUUCGGGUUGUAAAGCACUUUUGGCAGGAAAGAAACGUCGCGGGUUAAUACCCCGCGAAACUGACGGUACCUGCAGAAUAAGCACCGGCUAACUACGUGCCAGCAGCCGCGGUAAUACGUAGGGUGCAAGCGUUAAUCGGAAUUACUGGGCGUAAAGCGUGCGCAGGCGGUUCGGGAAGAAAGAUGUGAAAUCCCAGAGCUUAACUUUGGAACUGCAUUUUUAACUACCGGGCUAGAGUGUGUCAGAGGGAGGUGGAAUUCCGCGUGUAGCAGUGAAAUGCGUAGAUAUGCGGAGGAACACCGAUGGCGAAGGCAGCCUCCUGGGAUAACACUGACGCUCAUGCACGAAAGCGUGGGGAGCAAACAGGAUUAGAUACCCUGGUAGUCCACGCCCUAAACGAUGUCAACUAGCUGUUGGGGCCUUCGGGCCUUGGUAGCGCAGCUAACGCGUGAAGUUGACCGCCUGGGGAGUACGGUCGCAAGAUUAAAACUUAAAUGAAUUGACGGGGGUCAUAGCUG